rnacentral:rRNA from 1 species
AUUGAACGCUGGCGGAAUGCUUUACACAUGCAAGUCGAACGGCAGCACGGACUUCGGUCUGGUGGCGAGUGGCGAACGGGUGAGUAAUGUAUCGGAACGUGCCCAGUCGUGGGGGAUAACGUAGUGAAAAUUACGCUAAUACCGCAUACGAUCUAUGGAUGAAAGCGGGGGAUCGCAAGACCUCGCGCGAUUGGAGCGGCCGAUAUCAGAUUAGGUAGUUGGUGGGGUAAAGGCCCACCAAGCCAACGAUCUGUAGCUGGUCUGAGAGGACGACCAGCCACACUGGAACUGAGACACGGUCCAGACUCCUACGGGAGGCAGCAGUGGGGAAUUUUGGACAAUGGGCGAAAGCCUGAUCCAGCCAUUCCGCGUGCAGGAUGAAGGCCUCGGGUUGUGAACUGCUUUUGUACAGAACGAAAAGGUUUCUACUAAUACUAGGAGCUCAUGACGGUACUGUAAGAAUAAGCACCGGCUAACUACGUGCCAGCCGCCGCAGUAA